ensembl:lncRNA
CUUCCAGCUACUCCACCAGGUUCUCAGGUCCUGGACUCCGUCCUAAUUCCUCACCUCCUACUGCGAGCCUUGCACAGGACGAGAGAAGGCGGCAGAGUUUCUAAGAAACUUCAGUUCCUCAAUACACUCAGGACCUUUGUGGAAGGCACAGCCACAAGCACAGAACUGAGACUUCCUAUCUGGUUAGCCAGCUGCUUCCAUACUCAGCCAUCGAUACGUUCUUCGAACUGGUCCUUCUCUUCCCUACAACUACCCAGUGACAACAGGGGUCUUCGGUCACUCAAGGCCAGAGACCUCGGCCUCUAGAGUAUGGAGGGAGCCAUCAGCUUGAUGCAAGCUCUUUGAAGCAGGAUAUAAAAACAUGAAGGCAACAGUCAGGCAUCAUAACAUUUUAUGGUGAACUGAAGAAACGCAGGCUUGCACAGGCCGGUUAACAUUUCAGAAGACAUGCCGGUGCUUGACCUAAAGCAAGGCGGCCCACAAGUGGACUGAAAAACAAUACUAGCUCUCUCUCACAGGGCUUGAGGAGAGUGAUGAAGACGUUUUUUUUUUUUUUUCCAG